rnacentral:miRNA from 1 species
GGAGGAUCGCCUGAGUUAAGGAGGUUGAGGUUGCAGUGAUCUGUGAUCAUACCACUGCACUCCAGCCUGAGUGACAGAG